rnacentral:rRNA from 1 species
UACGUAGGAGGCGAGCGUUGUCCGGAAUUACUGGGCGUAAAGAGCGCGCAGGCGGUCUUCCAAGUCAGUGGUGAAAGCCCGGAGCUCAACUCCGGAACUGCCAUUGAAACUGUGAGACUGGAGUACGAGAGAGGUGAGUGGAAUUCCCAGUGUAGAGGUGAAAUUCGUAGAUAUUGGGAAGAACACCGGUGGCGAAGGCGACUUACUGGACACAUAUUGACGCUGAGGUGCGAAAGCGUGGGGAGCAAACAGG